rnacentral:rRNA from 1 species
GACGAACGCUGGCGGCGUGCCUAAUACAUGCAAGUUGAGCGAUGAAGAUUGGUGCUUGCACCAAUUUGAAGAGCAGCGAACGGGUGAGUAACGCGUGGGGAAUCUGCCUUUGAGCGGGGGACAACAUUUGGAAACGAAUGCUAAUACCGCAUAACAACUUUAAACAUAAGUUUUAAGUUUGAAAGAUGCAAUUGCAUCACUCAAAGAUGAUCCCGCGUUGUAUUAGCUAGUUGGUGAGGUAAAGGCUCACCAAGGCGAUGAUACAUAGCCGACCUGAGAGGGUGAUCGGCCACAUUGGGACUGAGACACGGCCCAAACUCCUACGGGAGGCAGCAGUAGGGAAUCUUCGGCGAUGGACGAAAGUCUGACCGAGCAACGCCGCGCGAGUGAAGAAGGUUUUCGGAUCGUAAAACUCUGUUGGUAGAGAAGAACGUUGGUGAGAGUGGAAAGCUCAUCAAGUGACGGUAACUACCCAGAAAGGGACGGCUAACUACGUG